rnacentral:tRNA from 1 species
GCCUAGUUAGCUUAGUUGGUCGACUGCCUUGUAAGCGCUAGGCCGCGGGUUCGAUUCCCGCCCGGGGCA